rnacentral:rRNA from 1 species
UACGAAGGGGGCUAGCGUUGCUCGGAAUGACUGGGCGUAAAGAGCUCGUAGGCGGUCUGUCGCGUCUGCUGUGAAAACUCGGGGCUUAACCCCGGGCCUGCAGUGGGUACGGGCAGACUAGAGUGCGGUAGGGGAGACUGGAAUUCCUGGUGUAGCGGUGAAAUGCGCAGAUAUCAGGAGGAACACCGGUGGCGAAGGCGGGUCUCUGGGCCGAUACUGACGCUGAGGAGCGAAAGCGUGGGGAGCAAACAGG